rnacentral:sRNA from 1 species
GUGCGUCACCGAGUCGUCGGCGCUGUCAUGGCGGGUGUGCUGAAGAAGACCACUGGCCUUGUGGGAUUGGCUGUGUGCAAUACUCCUCACGAGGUAUGUACCUUUGUUCUUUCUUCGUUCUUGAAUUCCCAAGGAAGACUAAAUUCCUGUCACUUUGCUUAUUGCAGGGUUAACGGGAUACAGAUGUUUCAAGCCCUUAAUUACAACCCGCGUGAGCUCUUGAGACACGGGCGCUGUCCACCUACUUCGUUGAUCCGAUGUCACAUUUUUAUUUAUUUUUGCCAUGACCUCUUUAUUAAGCCAGUUUUCUUGUUGACUGUUUCCUUGACAUUUUCAUGGCUUCACUUGUGCUUGCUUCUGUCAGCGCCAUCUCAAAUUUAUAUCUCCGUUUUCCAUCUUUUCUCCUUGCCUUACCGUUUCUGCUUAGGUGCGUUGGAUUACAUAUAUUUAGGCUUACUAAAGGUACUGCCCCCUUUUCCUUCUAUUAGGUCUUUUCCAUCUGUAUUCACGAAUGUUUUCAUCAAAAAAACCCACAAAAUUUUUUUAUCCUUCUUGUCUCUUCUAUAAUCACACCAUUUCUUUGCUUCACUUUACAGAUAACUCAAAAGAGUUAUCUCUAUUUUCUCCAAUUUCUUUCUUAUUCACCCUUGAAUGCACUCAGUCACCCUUGGCGUUUUUCAAGUUCAGCAAUUAUCUCCAUGCUGCCAAAUCCAAUGGUCAGCUCAUAUUUCUCACCUUCAUUGACCUAAUAGCAGCGUUUUUUGACACAUUUGACACUUUUUCCAUCACGCUCUUUUCAAGUUCACCAGUUAUCUCCAUGCUGCCAAAUCCAAUGGUCAACUUAUGUUUCUCACCUUCAUUGACCUAAUAGCAGCGUUUUUUUUGUUUUUUUUGUUUUUUUUUUUUGACACAUUUGACACUUUUUCCAUCAUGCGCUUUCUUUACUGGGCUUCAGGGCUCCCCCAGUCUCCUGAUUUUUUCCCCCUACUCUUUGACUUUCUCUUUUUCUGGUUAUUUCUCUUAUGCCCACUUUUAAAAUUUGAGUUAGUCAGGAUUUAGUUCUUGGACCUUUUCUUUUGGACCUGUACUCUGUCACCAAGAGAGAGCAAAUCCAAAUAGAGAACGGUUUUAAAUACCACCUAUACACUGACAACAGAUUUCCAUGUAAAGCACUGACCUCUUCCUUUAUAAAAGUCCUGAAUAUUUAAUUGCUUAGUGGGCAUCUCUACUUGAAUGUGUCAGACAGGCAACCCAAACUUAACAUGUCCAAAAUGAGGUUCCUGAUCUUCUGCCUAAAACCUGCUCUUCUCUCAGGCUUGCUCAUCUCAAUUAAUGGCAGCUCAAUUAUUUUGACUCAGGUCAGAAACUUGAAAUCAUCUUUGAUUUCUUCCUUUCUCUUACACUCCACAUUUGUUAUUUCGGUAAACCCUCUAGGUUCCACCUUCAAAAUAUAUCUUGAUUUUGACAACAUCUCACUACCUCCUCUGCUACUACCCUCUUCCUCAGUCACCAUCAUCACUGAUGUGGAUAAUUGCAUUCACUUCUUAACUGCCUCUCAAUGCUUGUCACAGCCUCCAUUUGGUCUUUUUUUCCAGCCAGGCUACUAGAGUUAGUCUGUUAAAAUAUGAGGUAGGUCAGAUCUCUCCUUUCCUUAAAACUAAUGGCUUUCCAUUUCACUCUAAAUAAAGACAAGUUUCUUACUGUGACCCUCUGGUUCACUAUUCUACUGAUUUAUUUUGUUAUGUCUCUACUAGAAUGUAGGUUUCAUGAAGGCAGGGAUUUGUAAUUGUUUCACUGCUAGAACUCUGUCACAUAGUAUGUGCUCAGUAAAUAGUGUUAGUUGAAUGAGUGUCUUGCACUUCCUAUGAUUUCAUAAUAACUUUAUUGUCAUUGAUGUAAAGAACUGAACUCAUGGUUUUUCCCUUCUAAAUAUAUUUCUUCCUCUGUGGGCUGUAUUUUUCUUGAUAGUUUCAGAUCUUUCUACUCCCUAGGCUGGGAAUUUGGACAUCAUAGUUGGUAUUUCUCUUAUACUUGUACUCUCAUAUUCAUUCCAAUGGUGAUUUUUAUUUUUAUUUUUUUUGCUGAUCCUUUUCUAUAACAGCUCUCCAGUCUGACUUCUGUUUACUAUUUCUAUUGUUACUACCAUAGUUCAGGUCCUUGUUCUUGUUUAGAGUAUUGCAACCACCUCCUUACUGGCCUUUCUGCCUUGUUUCUCCUUCAGUCCUUUUAACUCACUACAAUGAAGCUAAUUUUCCUAAUCUAAUCAUAUGAUUUUCCUAAAUCUUUUAAUUGUCCACAGAAUAAAGCCCGAAUGCUUUAACUUGGAAUGCAGAACCACUUAUAAUGUGACAUUUUCUCCAACUUUACCUCCUAUGCAUUUCCUUAUGUGUCUUGUACAGCAGUAUAUUCCAAAAUCCCCAGUGGAUGUCUAAAAACCACAUAUAGUACCAAACUGUAUAUAUGCUAUGUUUUGUUUCAUACAUACCUAUAAUAAAGUUUAAUUUAUGAAUUAGGCACAAUAAGAGAGAAGCAGGCUGGACGUGCUGGCUCACGCCUGUAAUCCCAGCACUUUGGGAGGCUGAGGCGGGUGGAUUGCUUUAGCCCAGGAGUUUAAGACCAGCCUGGCCAACAUGGCAAAACCCCGUCUCUACAAAAAAUGUGGAAAUUAGUCAGGUGUGGUGGUGUGCACCUAGUCCCAGCUACUCGGGAGGCAGAGGCAGGACGAUUGCUUGAGCCCCAGAGGUUGAGGCUGCAGUGAGCUGUGAUGAUGCCAUUGCACUCUAGCCUGGGUGAUGGAGUGAGACCCUGUCUCAAAAAAG